GUAACAUAUAUCUUCCUCCUAUCGGACUACCGAGCUUCUUCAUUAGAUAGUUUUCUCCUACAACUUUUACUUUUUACAGGAUAUAUUGUAUCAGAAAUUGGAGUUACAAAAGAAGCCAAAUUCACGCUUGAUUGAUUGAAGUUUCAACUGAAGAUGACUCAAAAUGAUAUUGAGGAUAUGUUAGAUAACCUAACAAGGAUCAAGAGCAGAGGUCAUGAUCUGAACAGCAUCAAAAUUAAGACACUUGAAAUUGAUCUACGAUUUUUGAGUACUUUUCUCAAAUACCAUCAUCUUCUUUUGCCUGAUUCCUUUAUCAAAAUCGCAAAGAAGGCCCAACUGAUUGAUGAAAUGCUAGUUUCACAGUUACUGGAAUUCAUUGAAGGUAAUACCAACAUAAGGUACAAUUUUGAGUUGAAUCAUUCCCAUCUAUCAGAAUAUAUGGAUUACCUCGACAAGAAUCUAAAUGAUAUACAAAUGUACUUGGAAUUGGAUAUUGAGUGGACGAAUAAACGAAUCCUUCAGCUUAAGCUAUUUUUAAAGCAAGUGAAAAUCAUUCAAAAGAAAAUGUGAUUUUUGAGAUACUUAUAUGCCACGGAGAUAAAUAGUUACAUCGACCACGAGAAGCUGGAAGGUCUGGAGACUCGAAUUCAGUUCAUGGCUGACAAUGUGGGACAGUUCUGCCUUGCUCUUUGGCUUGAUAAGGUUAAAGAUUAUGCAGAAUCAGAUGACGUUAAAAAUGAUGUAGAUUCGGAUGAGGAUAAAGAUGAUAAAGAUGCAGAUGAAGAUACAUAUGAUACAUAUUCAUAUGAGUAUAUGCUGAUUCAAUUGACAUUAUAGAUUCAGAUGAAGAUACCGAUGAAUACAUAUUCAUAUGACAAUGAAGAUAGUGCCGAUUCAGAUGAGGAUGAAAAUGAUUUCGCGAGUAAAAGGACCCUCGUCUCGCCAUGAGUCCAUACAUAUAAAAUUUAUCGAAAUCGGAGUCCAAUUGCUCAUCCAAAUCAUCAUUUUAAAGUUCAAAACUCAAGCCCUAGUUCUUCAUUAAUUUUACCUAAUUUAAGAGAUUUUAGGCUUAAUUCUUCAAUAAAAAUGCGUAUUAGGACCACGAGACCUACCUCCAAUGAUCUCCCGAUGAAAUCCCCUUCAAAAUCCGUCAUUUAGCUCUCAAGGUAUCUUAAAAAUGGAGGAAAAAUAACCCUUGCUCUCGGAUGAAAUGUUUAAUUAAACUUCUCUGCCCAGGCCCGCUCUUCUAUGCGUUUGCACUCCUUCAGUGCGUUCGCAUAGAGCAAACAUUCCCUACCUCCAAAAUACACUGCGUUCGCACACCUGUCACACCUCCUUUUUGCGCGCACCACCCCGAAGGAUAAACGCAUAAGAGAGUAUUUUCAAUUUAAGUGACAA